GGCGAUUUUCCACGAUUCGAGGCAGUCACCCAUAAUAAUUAGGACCUGCCAUAAUAGUCGGCAGUCACCGAUAGUAAAUAAACAAGCGGUCGACGAUCAUAGUGGACUACCAUAGAGAGGGUCAUAGAAGGUAGACGAUCAUAUCGAAGGAACUACCAGAUAGAAAUGUGGAAGCCAUAGGAAGAGCAUAGUCCUGUUCCGGUUCCUCAUCACCAGUCUCCAAACCCACCUACAUCUCCAUCUACCAAUAUCGCCAAUCAAUCUCCUCAUACAAAGUAUAUUAAUCAAGCUCCGAUUGUGCGACAGUGCGACGAAUAGAGCAACCAUUGUUAAAUGAGAUUGAAGAAGACUGGGAAAUAAAGACACGCAAUUUUACUCUUCUAAGAAGUAAAAAUAAAGAAUGAAGAAAUUUUGAAAUAAAGUGAGCUGAAAUUAUACUGAAAGAAUCUCCAUAAACAAGGUAAAAAGGUA